rnacentral:rRNA from 1 species
AACGAACGCUGGCGGCAGGCCUAACACAUGCAAGUCGAACGCUCGUAGCAAUACGAGAGUGGCAGACGGGUGAGUAACACGUGGGAACCUUCCCUAUGGUUCGGAAUAGCCCAGGGAAACUUGGGGUAAUACCGGAUAAGCCCUUCGGGGGAAGAUUUAUCGCCAUUGGAUGGGCCCGCGUCGGAUUAGCUAGUUGGUGAGGUAACGGCUCACCAAGGCGACGAUCCGUAGCUGGUCUGAGAGGAUGAUCAGCCACACUGGGACUGAGACACGGCCCAGACUCCUACGGGAGGCAGCAGUGGGGAAUUUUGGGCAAUGGGCGGAAAGCCUGACCCAGCAACGCCGCGUGAAGGAUGAAAUCCCUCGGGAUGUAAACUUCGCAAGAACGGGAAGAAU